UGGAAAUUUCUCGCUUAUUACUGUAAGAACAUGGAUCAACAAAUUAGUGAAGCCCUGAAUGUCAGAAUUUAGCUAUUUAUGACAGGCUUGACAGCACUAUUUCGUAUUGAAGAAUUACAAUAUUUAUCUGUCUAUAAGAUUACAACGUCCAAAUAUUUGAGCUAUAUGGGGCUUGAAGUUGAACUGUUUCAUCCACACUUGGUUAUAAUAUUUAUAAACCGAUCUGCCGAUAUCAAAAACCCGGCCUUAACGCGCUCUAAGCUAUGCAUAUUUGGGCAUAGUUUGGGAAAGCCUCAGAAGAAAAAAAAACACGCAUUCCAAAGGGAGAAAGGUAAAUAUAUGGAAAUAUUUUGCUUGGAACCCACGACUUUUUAUUCGGGACCCACGAUCUUUUACCCACGACCCACGAUUUUUUACCCACGACUUUUUACCCACGACCCACGCCUUUUUACCCACGACCCACGCCUUUUUACCCACGACCCACGCCUUUUUACCCACGACCCACGCCUUUUUACCCACGACCCACGCCUUUUUACCCACGACCCACGCCUUUUUACCCACGACCCACGCCUUUUUACCCACGACCCACGACAUUCUACCCACGACCCACGACCCACGACUGUUAGCUAGUCCCCCGUUACCUCGUCGCCAGUUAUAAUAUUCUAUUUUCCUAUUUAGUCUAAAAUACACACACCAAAAUCUAUUCUAUACACAAGCGUCCUUUUUCCACGAGGUUUCUUUCUCUACCCCCUUUUGUCCCCUAUAUCCUCUAAAUCCAUAUCGGUCCCUUAAUAUCAACUAUGGUCAUAAUAUAAUACAAAAUAACUCAAACAGAAACACUAUACCAGUAUAAAUAUAUAAUAUGAAACACUCGGGCUGCGUUCUCAUGUUUUAUAUCUGAUAAAGCACGUACUGCUGUCUUCAUUGGAAGGUCUCAGCAUGUUUCACCCAAUCGACAAAGGUCGCUGAGAGUCCCUGAGUUAUUUCACGAUCCCUAUAAAGGGUUAGAUUUUAGUGAUGGACGAAAAUCGGAG